AUUGAACGCUGGCGGCAUGCCUUACACAUGCAAGUCGAACGGCAGCACGGGAGCAAUCCUGGUGGCGAGUGGCGAACGGGUGGGUAAGGUAUCGGAACGUGCCCAGUCGUGGGGGAUAACGUAGCGAAAGUUACGCUAAUACCGCAUACGAUCUAUGGAUGAAAGCGGGGGAUCGCAAGACCUCGCGCGAUUGGAGCGGCCGAUAUCAGAUUAGGUAGUUGGUGGGGUAAAGGCUCACCAAGCCGGCGAUCUGUAGCUGGUCUGAGAGGACGACCAGCCACACUGGGACUGAGACACGGCCCAGACUCCUACGGGAGGCAGCAGUGGGGAAUUUUGGACAAUGGGCGAAAGCCUGAUCCAGCCAUGCCGCGUGCAGGAUGAAGGCCUUCGGGUUGUAAACUGCUUUUGUACGGAACGAAAAGGUUUGGGCUAAUAAGCUGAGCUCAUGACGGUACCGUAAGAAUAAGCACCGGCUAACUACGUGCCAGCCGCCGCGGUAAGAC
rnacentral:rRNA from 1 species